UACGGGGGGGGCAAGCGUUGUUCGGAAUUACUGGGCGUAAAGGGCUCGUAGGUGGCCAACUAAGUCAGACGUGAAAUCCCUCGGCUUAACCGGGGAACUGCGCUUGAUACUGGAUGGCUUGAGAUUGGGAGAGGGAUGCGGAAUUCCAGGUGUAGCGGUGAAAUGCGUAGAUAUCUGGAGGAACACCGGUGGCGAAGGCGGCAUCCUGGACCAACACUGACGCUGAGGAGCGAAAGCGUGGGGAGCGAACAGG
rnacentral:rRNA from 1 species